GACGAACGCUGGCGGCGCGCCUAACACAUGCAAGUCGAACGGUGAAGAGGAGCUUGCUCCUCGGAACAGUGGCGGACGGGUGAGUAACACGUGAGCAACCUGGCUCUAAGAGGGGGACAACAGUUGGAAACGACUGCUAAUACCGCAUGACGUAUCGGGAUGGCAUCUUCCUGAUACCAAAGAUAUUAUCGCUUAGAGAUGGGCUCGCGUCUGAUUAGAUAGUUGGCGGGGUAACGGCCCACCAAGUCGACGAUCAGUAGCCGGACUGAGAGGUUGAACGGCCACAUUGGGACUGAGACACGGCCCAGACUCCUACGGGAGGCAGCAGUGGGGGAUAUUGGACAAUGGGGGCAACCCUGAUCCAGCGACGCCGCGUGAGGGAAGAAGGUUUUCGGAUUGUAAACCUCUGUUGACGGAGAAAAAAAUGAUGGUAUCCGUUUAGAAAGCCACGGCUAACUACGUG
rnacentral:rRNA from 1 species